UCGAACGAGGUUUACCGAGUAGCAAUACGAGGGAAGACCUAGUGGCGAACGGGUGAGUAUCACGUGAGAAACCAACCCCGGUCUCUGGGAUAACAGUUGGAAACGACUGCUAAUACUGGAUGUCGUCGUACCCUCGCAUGGGGGGAUGACGAAAGGGUUACCGGAUCGGGACGGUCUCGCGGCCUAUCAGCUUGUUGGGGAGGUAACGGCUCACCAAGGCUUCGACGGGUAGCUGGUCUGAGAGGAUGAUCAGCCACACUGGGACUGAGACACGGCCCAGACUCC
rnacentral:rRNA from 2 species